AUGGCGACCGCAGGGAGUUCAAGGGGAAGUAGUGGCGAGUUCGUGUUAAGCGAGGAGCUCUAUCAGGCUGGAGUCUCCGUGCAUGAGAGUAUGCGCUGGAUCCAGGUCCAGGAAGACAAGAUGGCUGAGAUCUCGGCGAUUCGCAAUAAUUUGCUUGGGUUGAAAUCGGAUGCACUCGAGUUGUUUGAGAAGAUCUCCCGUCAGGCAAAUUCCGAGACCCAGAAGAGGCUCUGCGCGAUGCAGAAGACCCAUGGUGUGAAAUCGUUGGAGACCCAGAGCAAGAUUGGUGACGACGGUGAGAUGGAAACGAGGUGUGAGGAGUCGAAGCGAAGGAGUGCCGCGUCCCUGGAACUCGAGGAUCUGCUCCAUCGUGCCGCACUCCAAACCCAGAUGUGGAUAGGUGAAGGCGCAGAAAGUGAGGAGCUGCUCGAUCUGGCCGCAAAGGAGACCCAGGGGAGGAUCGUUGGCCAGGUUCACAGUCUGUCCUCCCUACCCAAAUUCGUCAGUGAGGUCAUGUUGAAAUUCGGACAAGUUGCCGGUGACAUUUCUAUGGUAUUAGAAGCGCAGCAGACCCGGAAGGAGGCACUAGCAGUGCUGAGCUUCGGCUUCAGGCUACAGUUGCUCUCCAAGCAGAUUGAUGAGUUGUGGCGUGAGAUGUGCACAUUACUGAGAUCUUUCUCGCCAGAAAACAAAGAUGUUAUGAAAACCAUGAUUAUGUUUACCCGUGAACCCUACCUACGUGGAAUCUGCAAAUUGCAAUUGAUCUCUGAACACAUCAGUAUGCUCCAGCAGAUGGACUCGGAUUUCGAUUCGAAAGUGAAAUCAAUGAUUGUAGAGUUGAAAUCGGAAUCUUUCUUGUCAGCCAUGGAGAAGUUGGAGGAGAGCCGCAGGGAAGGCUGUGGAGACCAAAAAGUUUCCAUGGAGACCAAGAAGUUGGAGGAGGAGAAGAGAUUCACUGCCUACCGACUCUACUGGGAAUGUACAUGGGGCAACACCAACAGCUUUGAAGACCAGACGUUAUUGAGCCCCAUGCUCUUUACACACUGCACACCACGCCGCAUCCCAAUUGAAGCUGUCGCCGGGAAUACCUUGCAGAUCUACUCCAUCAAAAUCUCGUUAACAAACAAAAUCAACUUCCCACUGGAUGUGUACGGAGUGGUCGCGGCCCGAGAUGCCGUGGACCAUUGUCGCAACCCUAUCUUCCUUCGUACAAGGAAUUCCUGCCAAACCCUCACAGAACAAGAUCCUUUCUUGCGAUUGACUGGCCCGGUUCGUGCAAUUGUGUCGAUGGAGACUGUUCACAUUGAAAUCCAACUAACAGUAAAGGGCGCAACAAAAUCUGAAGAUAGAGCAUUGAUUAGUACAUUCUACUUCUACAAUGGUGACAGUUCCCCGCAGGUAGCUGAAAACAGCUUUUGCACUGUGGAGUUAUGCAAUGAGCAACUUAAACAGUCGGUCCAAGCCACUAUCCUAAGCGUGUUUGUUAGAGCUGAAGCUGGAUCAUUGCCUUUCCCAAAUGGUGCCCGAGUUGUUUGCUCUUCACUACCUCAGGAUGUUGAUAAACAUAUUGCUGGGCCCUCAUCUAGGCAAGUUGUAGUUCUUGAUUUAAAAGGUGGAAUGGCUAAACCUGGCUACCUUGAUCUGACAAGGCAUGUAGUUUCUGUGGAAUUAAACGGACAGUUGAAAGUCCUCAUGGAGACCUUUUCGCCUUCGCAGUCUGUUGAAAGUACUCGUGUCCUCUUCAUCCCGCCCCGAAAAUGUAACAUAAGUAAACAUGAGGGCAACUUUGGUGGCUAUGAGGUGGAGAUUACUAUUGCUUGGUCCUUGAUUCCCUCGAAGAUGCUAUCCUGA
rnacentral:rRNA from 1 species